CGGCGUCCCGCGCAGUUUUGCGGGUUCGCGGCGGGAUCAGAGCCGCAUCGCCCGCCCCGAGGGCGAGCAGGGCCUUGACCGCCAGGAGGGCCCGGCGGGCACGGGGCAGCGGGAGGAAGCGGGCGCUGUCCUGCGGGCCGGGACGGAGAGCCCCUAGCUUCUCCCUUCCCCGUUCGCCCCGCCGCCCCCGCCGCAGGGGAGCGGCUGUGCCGCCGCCCGAAGCAGGGCGAGGUGGGCGCUCGAGCAGAGGCGGGCUCGCAGGCGCAGUGCCCAGAGGCUCCGCAGGGCCUCGCGUCAGAUGGAGCGCGUUGGGGUGGAGGCCACUCACCCCAGGGAUGCAGGACUUGGGCCCCCAAUGAAGGCAAACAAUCGUCCCCCUCCCUCCAAGGGUGUUAAUAGUGUGGGAUACUUUGCGGGUGGGGAUCCGCCAACUUCGUACCUUUUAGAGUUGUAUUUUCAAGUCUGUAAGAGAAGCCUACUGCUUGGUUCCUAUGAAGUGAGCUUGCUGCGGCUGCCUCUUCCAGACCGCUGCGGGAAUCUUGAAGAAGUGCUGGCAUGCAGGGGCCGGGACAAGAGGCCAAACGGAGAAUGUGUGGUACUCGGAAUGGCACGUAGGCCUGAGGGCUUGAGACAGGUGAAACGCUACCAGACCCCUGCCAGCUGGCCGCGCACGCACCCUGCGGGGUGGCAGGCCAGCCAGGGCUACCGAGAACUGGAUGGGGUGUCCUGAUGCAGGAGGGCGUGGGGGGAGAGGGUGGGGACUGCUCCAAGAAGCCGCUCAGCACUAACGACCUCCUUAGCGUUUUGCUGUCAGUCCUCAACUACGUUGGGGGACAUUUCUUCACCAUGCAAUCUGUCAGUGAAGGGAGGGGUGGAUGAGGGAAAGUUAGGGAGCUGUAUUGGCUCCCUACUAAGAUACCCACAGAAAUGUCUUUCAUUCACACACUAAUCCAGAGGAAAAUCUAACCCCGAGUUCCAAAGUUCUGGAUAUCCAGGGCUCGAACCCAGUGGCAUGAUGGUUCCUGCCUUAGUUCUUCCAUCCUGAGCACCACUCCAGUAUUCUCUCCUCUGGCUAGAGCCCAGAGGUGGUGCGAAACUGUUUCACGACAGCCUCCCAGGGGAGAAAGAGCUACUGGGAGAUUCCUCACAAGCACAAACUUAGAGGCCUACAUCCUCUGGUGUUCUGGGAAGACCACAGGGCAUUAGGCCAAGAUUCAGAUUAGCUGUGGUCCGAGACCUUGCCUGUGUGACAUAUGUGGAUACAUGCAAGGUCGCCAAGGCAGCCCUGGCCCCUGCUUUCCCAGCCUGAGGGCAGACUCCCUUAAGGGCAGGGAAUUCCUCAUUUGCCUCUGCCCGCUAUAGCUCCUGGCAUUGAACUGGCACGUGGUUGGCACUGGCAAUGCACCUACUUACUAGAUCUUGAAGAAGGCCAAAACCAUAGGCAUAUUUCUAAGCUCCACAUCAGCAGUGGGGUGGAGAGGAGCUGGGGAGUUGUGUGAAAUCAUGGACUCUAUCAUCCAAGGAGGUAGAUCAAUUUGAGCUCUAACUGCCAGAGACCAGAGCCUGAGCAGGCCCCACUGCACACACUUUUAGAUGAGUUGUACAUAGGUUCUAGGACCGUAAGAGCCAGUAGGAAGUUCCCCUCCCUCUGAGCCACGAAGGACUUCUAGGAGGGCAUGGGGUCCUCUAUGGGCCAUGGCAGUGAACCCCCCUCAAAAGCAUCUUCCUGCUCCCUUAUAAAAGUGUAGAAACGACAUAUUCUUGCCUGCCUAAUCAGCAUGGGCUAACCUCCUGAAGAAAAGUGUCCAAAGAAGCCCUGAGCUGCCUGCCUGGCCCAAAGAAUUGGAAGGGAAAUGUCUUUGAGGUGGACUGACCAAUGUGUAUCCUGAUCAAAUGGUCCUGGCAGUGCAUGGGGUCUUAGUGUUUGGAAGGAAGUGAAGAGCCUGCCCCUUGCUGGGGACUACAGCCUCUCAGCUGUUGGUGCUCUCUAGAGUCACCCUCCCCAGGGGCGAUGGCCCCUUCUUGGCUUGCCAGGCCCUAUCCUUCCCUAAAUGUUGUACUGUUCUCCACUCGAUCUGGUUUUACUGGCUGUGGCAGAAACUUUGGUCCUCAAAAGACUCAGGAAACAGAGCUCCACCCCCAGACCCACAAAGACCUGAGAGAAGUUGGUACCCCAGGGCCACAUGGACUCUCGUGUGCUAUGAGGGCUUUAAGAGCUAUGGAGUGGGGAGUCAGUGAUGGGGGUCGGCCUGUGGACCCUGAUGCUGCCAGGAGCCACACCCAAAGGCUGCAUGGCUAUGACUGCUUUCAAGACCCUCUCUGGAGACAGACUCCCUUACCUGCCCUGCAAAGUUCACUGUGGAGACACGAGGACCCAGGAGGCUUUCCCUGGCCUGUGUGACACAGGCCCAGGCCCCCACUUGAACGGUGGCUCCCACUUUGACCACUGACAGAGGCCCCCAAAAGAUGAGCUCUCUCGAAAGCAGGGCAGACCAGGAAUAGCAGGAGUAGGCCUCCCAAAACACUGCAGAACCAUCCGAGAAUUUUGGACAGUGGUUGCUGUCAGCACCUGUGUUGGGGCGGGGACAGGAGCUCUCUCACAAGGACCUCUGCAGUGGUGCCUAACACUGGCCCAGGCCAAGCAGGGAGUCCAUCAUGUCCGAGUCAUAGUCAUGGUUUCUUCUGCACUUCAGCCAGAGGCAGAGCCCCAAGCUCCCACCCCAGUCGCCUGCCCUCUCUGCCUGGGGAGAAGAAGGGGCAGCUCGUUUCUCUCCAGGGUCAUGAGUCACCCUUGGAGGAGGCAACUCAGAGUACGUGAUAGCACCUUACCUGUGCAUCAGGGAAUGGAACUAUCCAGAAUUUAUGACUCCUUGUUUGUAUGGUCCUUGUAUGACUCUUCUGAACCCAAGCCACCUGCUCUUCAGAGAACCCUCCUCAGUCUUGUCCCGUGGGCAGCAAGUCCACAUCUCCAGUUACUGGGACUUACUCCUUCCUUGGAUACUUGUCUCGAAUAAAUAUUUACAGUGACACCUGCAGAUGAACCUUAGCCACAAACACAAGACGGUGAGAAAUUCACCGAAAAAUGGGUCCUGGGUCAGUGAUAGCCCUGGAGGUCUGGGCAAAAGCAAGCCAACUUUUUCUCAGCCACCUCCUCCUGUAGGCUCCAGGGUGAAGGCAGACUCAUAGGAGGAGACUACGCCCUGAGACUGCAGAGUCAGGACUCCUGGCCCACCACCCCGGGGUAGUGGUGUGUGGAGCAGUUUCCUUUGGAGUUUCAGCUUCCCCGGCAGAUCAUCAUUGCUUUCAACUUUGGAAGGAGCAGAGCUUCUGGGGACUCCACCAAGGGGCCGUGUAUUUACAUUCCUGGACAGAGUGGCAAUCAGCAUUUCUUAGCCUUUGUUGAGAGGUGCCCAGAUUCCAAGAGGAGAAAACACCAGUGAAUGAAAAAAGAGAACCCUCCCCAUGCACCCAGCGAGAAGCACUGCCUGGCACGGUCCCCAGAGGUGGGGAGGGCAUGCCUCCUGAAGCCGGGGCAGGUGUGGCCAAACAGAAGAGUGGACUGGUCCAAAGCUACACUGCCCCCACCCUGGCCUGCCCACCUUUGCUGUGGCCCAGAUACUACUUUCGUCUCUCCAGUGACUUGUAGAAAGCUUGUGAGUGUCCAGCCAUGGGGCAGCAUUGCAUCUGCAAAGACAGAGCCUCGCGAUGCAGCCAGGGUGGUGGAUGGAAGGUGGGGCGAAGGCCUCUGCAGCUUGCUUCUCCCCACCGGUGCAUCCCAACACCGAGGUCCCAUGGUCUCGGAGGAGCCAGCGGGGGCAGAGGGUUUUCCUGUUAUUUCCCAUAGCUAGAAACGCAGGCAAGGUCAAGAGCAGGAAUCUCACAAAACACACACCUCCCUCGCCGCCUUUGUCCACCCCGGGGCCUGCACACCCUCAGCUAAAUGUCAGACUGCAUCCUGUCUUCUCGAGGUCCCUAGGCCAUGCCUGGCUCCCUCUGGCCCCGGCCUGUGUUCGGUGAGGAGAGCUCUUCCCUCCUGCUUCACCUGGUCAAAGCCUGCCCUCCUCCACUUCCACUCCAUUCCCCGGGGAGCACUUUCCCAGACCCUCGAGCCAGGGGCUUUCAGGGGCAUAUCCCUGUGCCACUCUCUCGUGGCGCUUAGCGUGGUUUGCAACCAUCCACCGAUUUGUGUGAUUAUUAGUGUCUCUCUCCCUCUGAGACUGACCUGACCUGGUUCACCUCACUGUCCUCCCCAGCCUCUCUGGCACUUACUAGGUACUCAAUAAAUAUUUGUCGAAUGCAUGAAUUAGAGGGUUGAUCUGAGUUCUCCUUUUCUCACACUCACCUGUGCAGGCCUCAUGCCCUGGGCAGCUGUCUGCAUCGCUUGGCUGCCCUGGUCUUGGCUGUGUGUGGAGAAGAGGGGCUGAGCUGCCCGGGGCGCGGGCCCUGCUGAGGCCAUGGGCACAAAGAGACAGAGGAGCCACACAGAGAACCCGGGAGCAGCAGGCAAGGGCUGGCAGAGGAACACAAUCGGGCUGUGUGUUAGGGGCUGGCUGGAGGGGGUUUGGGAAAGAGAGGUAAGGAAUAAUCCAAGAGAAAUGUCUAUGUCAUGAAGUUGGGGGGCAGGGCACAGCUGCAGGUGCCACGAGGAAAUGGUCACCAGGUGCCCGCACAGGCAACAGCGGGAGCGUCCGCGCGUGCUGCGGGUGGGCGUGGGAGCUGGCGCAGCCCUCCGGGGGCCGUUUAACAGUAUCAAAUAUUUAAAUAUAAAAAGUACUUCCAGUUUGGGGACUCUCUACAACAGAAAGGCUUUCGUGACUUACGUGCAAGGACAGUCGUGGCAGUGGGGCAAUGUUAAAAAACUGGAAACAACCCAAGCGUUUGUUAACUGGGGGCGGCUACAUUCGAGGUGCCUCUGGAGAACGGGCACCGGGCCUGGCAGAGUGCGGCGGGUGUGUGCUGCGGGGCGGGAGGCGUGCCGCACGGCGAUGGCCAUGCCGCGAGCUACAGGAUGCCGGUGCCCCAGGAUCCCACUUACUUUUUAAAAACAGACUUCUAUUUGUGUGCAAAAACGGGGUUAUGUUUGUGCAUGGAAAAGUCUGGAAGGAUACAUGCUCUACCUUUAACACUAUGUCCUCUGGACAAUGGGAUUCAGGGUAGGGUAAGAGGGUCCCACACUUUUUGAUUCUCUCUUUCGAAUAAGCACGCAUUUCCUCCAUAAUAAAAAGGGAAAGGAAAAGUUAUAGGAUGUGGCAAUGGAGAGGGAAUCUCAUCAUCUGGGAGCUCAGAUUUUUUAGACUGGUGGGAGCAGAGGAGCCAGUUACACUGGGUGGAAUAAGCCUCUGCAGAUUGUGAAGAUCCUUCCAGAAGAUUCCUGGUGAAUGUCAUUUUUGAAAGAGGAUGCUAGCGUAAGGAAAGGGGUGUGGUGGGGGAAGGUUAGGCUGAGUGAGGGGAGAGAGGCAGGCGCAGGAGGAAUUUGCUAGCAUCCUGGGGAAAGGGGUGCUCGGCUGGAGGGCUGUUUGGGGCAAGCAGAAGGCAGGCGGGUGGCAGACCCCAGGCAGAGGAAGCUCCCUAAAGCAGGGUGAGAGAUGUGUUGUGGGGGUGGCAUGGAGAGAUGACGUGAGGGAGGGCUGCAAGGGAGGUCACAGCUGAUGGCCCAAUGUUUGUCAGUGAGUGGGCGAGAGUGGAUGUUGUCAGCGGCAAAGGAGAGGGCUAGGAAUGGGGACAGGGGGUGAGGGCAGUGGUAACCUCUGGGAACAGGGAAAGGGCCAAAGGGGGCUGGCAAAACUGACUGCAGCAGAAGGGCCUGGCCGAGCUGUCCACCACGCACUUGGAUGGACCAGUGGCAGUUCUGCGUCUUUCCCUUAGCAGAGCUGAAGUGUAAAACUGGAGGAGAUGAAAGUUCCAUUGUUCCAAAGGUGGAGAGCAACACGGCAAGCCCAGCAUUCAGGAAAGAGUUUUAAACAGGUCGACCACGAGGUAAAGAAAGAACAUGAUAUGGAGCUUCACGUUGGGAUGAACAGCUGCAGAAGCCCCUCCGGAAAAGGGAGUGGUGGAGAGCUAGGGCGGGGCUCUGUGGGCGAUGCUGGGGGCCAGGCGUGGCUGUGGGGGUGGGGUGCAGAAGCAGAGGGGAGUAACAAGGCUCCUGGUGGUGGGGGUUGGGGGGUCAAUUGUCUAGGCAGAGCCCUAUAGGUGCAGAGAUAAAAUUGGUGAGUCUAAGGCCAGAGAUCUCAAUUCAUUCAUUCAACAAAUAUUUAUUGAGCACCUACUAUGUGCCAGGCAUUUUUUCCAACCCCAUGGGAGGUGAAUGUGGGAGUCCACCAGAUGGUGAUAGAUGGAGAUGGGAAGAGGAGGGUUGGGUGGCGUGGGGCUCCUAGAGGAAGGGCAAGCAUCACAGGGAAGGGGCUAUGAUGGCCAGGAGCAAGCCAGGAGGGCACUGGCCUUGAGGCUUUGCCUGAGGUGUGGGGCCUGGGCUGGCCACGAAGCAGAGGCUGCCCUGUUAAGAGCUGGGAGAGGCGCCAGCCUCAGGGCAAGGCAGGUUUGGGAUGAGACAAGAGAAGGUGGGAAAUGGUCUAUCACUUCCUCCCUGCAGUGUAGCCUGCUUCCCAGAGCCCGUGGGUAUCAUGGCUGGCACAGGGUGGCAGGAGGGCCAGGCAAGGGAGGGGCGAGACUGUCCUCAGACAUCGAGGGGCUCCCCCAGGCCGUGGCGCUCUUAUCCGCGACCAGCUCGGGGUGUCAGCCCUCGCUUGCUGUUUGGAAGUGGAGAGAAAGAAGCGGGCCCCAGAGAGGCGGCCAGGACGCAUACAGUGGUAGGAGAGAGAGGGCUCCAAGAGGAGAUGGCCGUGGGUGGACGUGGAGGAAGAGCAGCCAAAGGCAUUCCUGAGGGCAGGCACAGCUGCACACGGAUCGGGGGAAUGUGACCUAAGUAGACAGCGCUGUGAGGGGAACCACCAGACCCGCCUGCUUCGGCCAGGCCUUAGGGAUCCCAUUAGCCAGCAAAGGUCCCCCUGAUGGCUUCUACCUGUCCUCAGGCCACCUUGAAGCACUGGAGGAGGAGGUCUGGGGGACAGCGGUGGGGCAGGGGUGCAGAAGGGCCUGCAUUCGGGGAAGUGGAUGGGGUGACCCGAGGAUCUCAGGAAGACACCUUUCCUUCCACCCCAAGACCCCGGCCCGCUCCCGCAGCCGCCUUCCAGACCAAGCUCCACCUCCUAGGCUCGCCUGCUCUCACCCUGUCCCAUUCCCUACAGCGCAGACCUUGUCAUUCGACUUGGGCAUAUUGCUCUUCCUCCUCCCUCCCUCAGGGUGUGGGUGCAGGGAGCCCCAUGCACUCGUGCCCACUGGCAUGGCAGCCAGAGGCAUGCUGAGCUCUUUCGGAUUCCAAAUGAAGCUAUGAGGCAGCGUGACUGGGAGCCUUUGGCUUUGCCCAAAAGCCGAGAAGGCUCUGCUCUGGGGGGCGAGCGGCUUGGAAUCUGGACCCUCUUUCUGGGACGGCUGGAGGCAGGAGCCACUUGGCAGGUGUGGAAGGAAUCUCUGGUGGAGGUCUUUUUCCUCCUUUUGUCCUCAAAAGUCUUUGGGAUACCUGCGGGGCUGGGUGGUGACCUCAUCAGCCCACCAGCAGGUAGUCAGGUGUGCCCUUUCCUCUCCUGGCUCCUGUCUCAGCCACUGCAGCUUCUAGAGAAAGAAAACAAAGCCAGCUGCUACUGGCAGGGCCGGGGAGAGGUGGCAGAUGAGGAGAGACGGGGGACACGAGCCUGCUCAGAAGGAAGUCAGCCCCUUCCGGCCUGUAGGUAGCCACCUGGAGCAGCAGUAGGUCAUUCUAGAGGAGAAAGACAGGAGGGGGAAAGCUCAAAACUGCUGAAAGGAGGGCCCGGGCCGGGAGGGUGCAAAACUAAGUCCUGGAAGUGGACCUGCUUCUGGGGCUGGUAGGCGGGGCGGGGCCUGUGCUUGCCUCCCUGCAGUUCAACUCUGGCAGGGGCUCCUUCGGGGGAAGGAAGGACACCGCUGUGCAAAGCGGGUGCCCUUACAUCCCCUGCACCCCGCACCCCACGGCCUCUGUGCAGAGCUGGUGGCUCCGUGCCCUUGUGGUUCUCAGGAUGGCCUCACGAACAGCGCUGGCGAUUUCUCUCGGGGGCCUUGAGCCGGGACCAUGAAUUGGAAGUGUGGAGUGACUUCUUGCCUGGCCACCCUGCCCCGUCCCCCUCCCCUGGCUUGGCCUUGGUCAAGGCCACUUCCCCAGCCUUGGGCUUGGCUCAGGAGGGAGCCCUGCUUUCUGCUGAGACCACCAGCCAGGCGGGUGGUUGCUUGGAAACGGCUCUGGUUUCUCUCAGACCACACCUCCUCACCUGCCUUCCACCGGCCACGCACAGGAAGACGCGCAGAUGCCAGCGCUGUGCAUGCUCCGCCGUGGCCUGAAGUGCAAGAAACCUGCAGCGAGGCCUUCUGCCAAGGGCGGUGGCACCGGGGACGGACUUGUGGGCCAGGCGCAGGGCUUGCCCCUCUGCGGCAAGGUGUCCCUCACCGGGCUCUCUCCAGGUCUCUAAACCCUACUGCAAAUUUAUUUUCAGCAUAGAAAACUCCGGGGAGAAGAGCUUACCUGCUCUCUUCAGUGGAUCCUUACAGCCCGAAGGAUGCCUUAGCCCUGAUAUUGUGGGAUUCGUGGCUGAUCCACCAUCCCUGCUGACACAUCCUAAAGGCUGGACAGAUGCUACACACAGCCCAGAUCAGUCCUCUUCUUUCCAGAACCCCCGAGCUCCCUGGCACCCUAGGAAAAGCCUGGUAACACCUUAAGGUAGCAUGCAUAGAGCAAGUCGGUAUCAGGUGCAGAAACACCUCGCUUGUGUCAAGGGUCAUGGGCUCUAUUUCGCUCCCAGGUGGUGAUCCCACCCUUUCGGCACCUCGUGUGCCCAGAGGCGCCCAGACCCUGUCCCUGUCUGCAGGCCACACUAGAGGCCAGGCUUCCCCCACACGCCCCUUGCCACUUGUCCGUCCGAAGUCCCAAGCUGUCAUUACUUCCUUGCUCCCUGGACUGUGCCUUCUGCAGCUCUCUCCCGGCAGCUGGCAGCUUAAGUGCCCACAGUUGAGUGUCGUCAUUCUCCUUGGUGUGCCCUGUCCCCACUAGAGAUAGCAUUUAGUAAGACAGUGCGUCUCCUCAGACCGCCCUGCCCCCGUGAGAAGUUCCACUUGGAAACACGUUGGUCAGCUCUGCUUCUGAGUCUUGCUUUUGGGGACUCAUUUCUCUUAUCCAACAGGUUUUGACAAAUCUUACUGCCCCAGAGCUGCUGCUCCUGAAAACCCAGCCCCUAGGGACCUGCCUCCUGCUCUUUACUUCAUGCCUCUACCAGCUUUCUUGCUGGGCGGGAGGUGUGGGACAGUUUACAGACCCCUGGAGGCAGGAGGAGGCAGGCCAGCCCCACCCCACCCACCCUGCCUCGCCUUAGCUCUUCCUCCGCUGGGACAAGCACACGGAGGCCCUGGUGUGGGUCUGGCUGGGAGUCCUUCCAGACAGGGCAGGAGGAGGGCGGAUGGCGGGAGGGGGGACGGCUCCAGGGAGGCCACUGGGUCCUUCCCGUUUCCCUCCUGGUCUCUACUGCAGUGUCAGCGACAGUGCUCAGCCUUGCUGUGUCUGGAAGGGAGCUGAUGCAGUCACCCUGUGUCUGCUCCUUGUCACGUUCUUCUCCCAGGCCCGCCCCAGCAAGGCCUCUGUACCCAAUAUUUUCCAUCUGCCCCUCCUGAUCCACCCUCCAACCCCCUUGGCCCUGCUCGGGGCCACAGGAGGCUGGCCUGGGUGGACGGCGUCCACUCUUCCAGUUGGGUUGAGAGGCACUGGCCGCCACCAGGGGAGCGAAGCAGGGAGAGGACGUCUCCAGGCCUCCUGGUGGGUGGCAUGGACUGCCUGUGUCCUUCAGCGGGAGGCCACGGCUCUGGCCUGGCUGCCCUCUCUGGGUCUUUUCACUGCGUGUACCCCACUUUUAGGUCUUCUAUCUCUCCCUGAAGCACGGCUUGAACCCGCCAUUGUAAAGAGUCAGGUCAUUGAGCUUUGCUCAAAACGCCUGGUGGGGCAGCGCCUCUGCUCCUGCUGGCUCUGGAGUCCUACUCCCCGGUGUGUUUCUCAACUUCUUAAAUCCAGGUUUCCUUCUGGUAAACAUAAACAUCCCACACUCUGCCAGUGUGGGAUCCCAAACAUCCCAAACAUGCCCACACUCUGAUGUACCUCUUGGGCAGUGUGUGAGGCACCCCACCCUGCGUGAUCAGGCGGCAUGGUGCGACAGGCAGCCUGCCUGCAACCCAGCCGCCAUGCCGCCAUGGGCUGCACAUGGUGUAGCUUGUAUUGCAAAUGCACUUGUUGGUUUCUUUUCUCAAUGCAAAAUUCUAAUAUGCUUUUAUUCAAAAGGCAUCUUCCUGAGAUUCUGAGGCUCUUUUGGGACCUCCAGAUGGAAUGUCUAGAUAGGAAGCCUGAAUUCAGGGGGAGGGAUGGGAUGGGGAUGGGAGAGGUGGGAGCCCCCACAUUCUGUGUGGUUGACAGAAGAGGCCCCAAAAAGAAAGAGACGAAUCCGGAACACUGGGGAAGAUUGUCAUUUAAGGCACAGGCACAGGAAAAGAACCGAGAGAAAGCGAUCAGGUCAAGGGAAGAGUCACGAAGGAGAGCAUGGGUGGCAAUGUCCAUACCACCUAGAGGGCACGCGCUGACCUGCGGGCCUAGCAAGGCUGGUGGUGGGCAAGGCUCCAGAGCUGCCGUGGGGUGGGGCGGGGGCCACUGCGGGGUCCCAAGAGGGAAGGAAGGAGCCACAUUAGCAGCUUGAGAGGAAGAUGCCCUAGAGAGAGAGAGACGGGCUGAGGAUUUCAGGGUUGAGGGAAGAGCCUGCUGGAGCCAAGUCCCAGAGAUGGGGGAAGGAGGGUCCCGGCCAGGCCUUGGGAGAGAGGAGGCCCUGUCGAUGGGCACGUCAGGGGUCAGGGAGGAAGGCGAAGGCUGCUGGGCUCUGGGCCUUCCCGCGCACGGUGAAGUGGCUGCUGAGAAGGCUGCGGGGUGAGGCAGUGGAUCAAAGCCAAGUGGUAGGGCAGCCCCGGGCAGGCCUACUGGCCGAGGAGGGAGGCAGGGGUUCCCAGUGCGGAACCUGAGCGAGCCCAAGCCCCCAGACCUGGGGCGGGAAGCAGAGCAGGGCACUGCUCCUGGGAGCCAGCGGGGCGGGGG